AUACGGAGGGUGCAAGCGUUAAUCGGAAUUACUGGGCGUAAAGCGUGCGUAGGCGGUUUAUUAAGUCAGAUGUGAAAGCCCCGGGCUUAACCUGGGAACUGCAUUUGAUACUGGUAGACUAGAGUAUGGUAGAGGGGGGUAGAAUUCCUAGUGUAGCGGUGAAAUGCGUAGAUAUUAGGAGGAAUACCAGUGGCGAAGGCGGCCCCCUGGACCAAUACUGACGCUGAGGUACGAAAUCGUGGGGAGCGAACAGGAUUAGAAACCCCAGUAGUCC
rnacentral:rRNA from 1 species